rnacentral:rRNA from 1 species
ACGUGAGAACCUACCCUUUAGACAGGAAUAGCCCAUGGAAACGUGGAUUAAUGCCUGAUAGUCUCUACGGAGUAAAUGGUGCCUUCGGGUAUCGCUAGAGGAUGGGCUCGCGGCCUAUCAGCUUGUUGGUGAGGUAAAGGCUCACCAAGGCGACGACGGGUAGCUGGUCUGAGAGGACGAUCAGCAACACUGGAACUGAGACACGGUCCAGACACCUACGGGUGGCAGCAGUCGAGAAUCAUUCACAAUGGAGGCAACUCUGAUGGUGCAACGCCGCGUGGAGGAUGACGGUCCUAGGAU